rnacentral:rRNA from 1 species
UACGUAGGGGGCAAGCGUUGUCCGGAUUUAUUGGGCGUAAAGAGCGUGUAGGCGGCCAGGUAGGUCCGUUGUGAAAACUCGAGGCUCACCUCGAGACGCCGAUGGAAACCAUCUGGCUAGAGUCCGGAAGAGGAGAGUGGAAUUCCCGGUGUAGCGGUGAAAUGACGCAGAUAUCAGGAAGAACACCCGUGGCUAAGGCGGCUCCUCUAGUACGGUACUGACGCUGAGACGCGAAAGCCGUGGGGAGCGAACAGG